rnacentral:rRNA from 1 species
GACGAACCGUGCGAACGUUGUUCGGAAUCACUGGGCUUAAAGGGCGCGUAGGCGGGUUCGCAAGUCUGUGGUGAAAGCCUCCAGCUUAACUGGAGAAGUGCCGUGGAUACUGCGAAUCUUGAGGAGGGUAGGGGCGUCUGGAACGGUCGGUGGAGCGGUGAAAUGCGUUGAUAUCGACCGGAACUCCGGUGGCGAAGGCGAGGCGCUGGACCCUUUCUGACGCUGAUGCGCGAAAGCCAGGGGAGCAAACGGG